AGAUUGUAAUGACUAUACUUAUACCUAAACAAGUAAUAAAUAAAUGCAUUUAGUUUCCUUACCUUGAGUAUUGAAUCAACAUUUGAAAACAAAGUAAUCAACCUUUGGCAAUUUGAAACAUCAAAGGACUUUGUGUUCUCCAGUGAAUGAAGGACAAAAAUUAGACAUGGAGACACUUGGUUUGGCAGAGCAGGCUGUCAACGCUCAUCUGGCAUAAGAUAAAUGAAAUUCUCUCUCAGACAGAAUAACUGAAUUCUGUGACCACUUUGAAGCUUAUCCCCAAGGCUAAGCUUUUCUGGAUCCUGUAGUGAC